CAGUCGCCGCGGGAAUACGGAGGGUGCAAGAGUUAAUCGGAAUUACUGGGCGUAAAGCGCACGCAGGCGGUCUGUCAAGUCGGAUGUGAAAUCCCCGGGCUCAACCUGGGAACUGCAUUCGAAACUGGCAGGCUAGAGUCUUGUAGAGGGGGGUAGAAUUCCAGGUGUAGCGGUGAAAUGCGUAGAGAUCUGGAGGAAUACCGGUGGCGAAGGCGGCCCCCUGGACAAAGACUGACGCUCAGGUGCGAAAGCGUGGGGAGCAAACAGGAUUAGAUACCCGAGUAGUCCCUGUCUCUUAUAC
rnacentral:rRNA from 1 species